rnacentral:rRNA from 1 species
AGUGAACGCUGGCGGUAGGCCUAACACAUGCAAGUCGAACGGCAGCACAGUAAGAGCUUGCUCUUACGGGUGGCGAGUGGCGGACGGGUGAGGAAUACAUCGGAAUCUACUUUUUCGUGGGGGAUAACGUAGGGAAACUUACGCUAAUACCGCAUACGACCUACGGGUGAAAGCAGGGGAUCUUCGGACCUUGCGCGAUUGAAUGAGCCGAUGUCGGAUUAGCUAGUUGGCGGGGUAAAAGCCCACCAAGGCGACGAUCCGUAGCUGGUCUGAGAGGAUGAUCAGCCACACUGGAACUGAGACACGGUCCAGACUCCUACGGGAGGCAGCAGUGGGGAAUAUUGGACAAUGGGCGCAAGCCUGAUCCAGCCAUACCGCGUGGGUGAAGAAGGCCUUCGGGUUGUAAAGCCCUUUUGUUGGGAAAGAAAAGCAGCAGGUUAAUACCCCGCUGUUCUGACGGUACCCAAAGAAUAAGCACCGGCUAACUUCGU